rnacentral:rRNA from 1 species
AAAUAAUGCACUGAACGGCUGCCUAGGUAUUUAAGAAAAAUUUAGUUGUGUAUUGCACUAAGUAGGUUUGAAAAAUUUAUUGAAAUCUAAUUACUAUAGAAAAAAUUCAUUUUUUAGAAAUAUUUAACGGGGUGAAGUAAAACAUUCUAGUAACCCUAGAAAAAAAUCAAACGAAAUGUCGUUAGUAGUGGCGAGCGAAUGCGAUUUUAGGCGGUAAUUAUAAAUAAUGAACUCGAAUCAUCCAUAGAAGGUUUAAGUCCUGUAGAGUUUACAAGUAUAAUUAAAAUGACAACGGAUUAUGUUAAAUUUGUUGAUAUUUCGGGGAUCUACCCUCGAGCCUAAAUAAUCUUAAAUAACCGAUAGUGAACAAGUACCGUGAGGGAAAGGUGAAAUAGAACUUUUUUAGAGUUAAAAGAACCUAAAAUUCAGUGCAGACAAUCUGUUGGAGCUCUUUACGAGUGACAGCGUACCUUUUGCAUAAUGGACCAAUAAGUUUAUAUUUAUAGCAAGCUUAAUUAAAUUGUAGGCGUAGAUAAAUCAAGUUUUAAAAAGCUUAGAAUAGUUAUAAAUAUAAGACCCGAAGCUGAGUGAUCUAACCAUGAGCAGGUUGAAAGUUUUAUAGAAAUAUGAGCUGGAGGACCGAACCCGUGUCUGUUGAAAAAGACUGGGAUGACUUGUGGUUAGGAGUGAAAGGCUAAUCAAACUCAGGUAUAGCCGGUUUUCUGCGAAAUAUAUUUAAGUAUAGCCUGCAAAUUAGUCAAGAUAGGGUAGAGCACUUUUAGGAUACGGGGGAUUUUCAAUCUUACUUAAUCUUAAAAAACUUCGAAUAUGUCUUUGAUAUUUUGUGGAGUCAGACUAUAGGCGCUAAGGUUUAUAGUCAAGAGGGAAACAGCCCAGAUUAUCCGAUAAGGACUUCAAUUAUUAUUUAAGUGAUAAGAUUGUAAAAGAAUUAAGACAAUCAUAAAGUAGGCUUGGAAGCAGCCAUCUUUUUAAGAAAGCGUAACAGCUCAUUGAUCAAGUUCUUUUGCUUCGAAAAUGUAUAGAGACUAAAAAUAAUAUCCGAAUCGAUAAAUUUAUGGUAGCAGAACGUUCUGUAAGCUUAUGAAGGUUAGUCGUUAGAUUAAUUGGAGGCAUCAGAAGCGAGCAUAUUGGUAUUAGUAGCUAAAACAAUGUUUAAUCAUUGUCGCCGUAAAUCUAAGGUUUCCGAUUCAACGUUUAAUGGAAUCGGAUGUUAAGCGGUCCUUAAGGCAAAUUACAAAUGUAUAAGCUAAUAGGAAAUUCAAGUAUGACAGAGUUUAAAUGAUAUUACAACUUAUCGAUUUGUUGUAGUAUUUAAAAGCUCUCUGGAAAUAGUACUUGGAACUAAAACCGUACCCUAAACCGACACAGGUAGAUAGGUAGAAUAUACUAAGGCGUUCAAGACAACUACGUUGAAGGAACUCGGCAAAUUUGCUCUGUAACUUCGGAAGAAAGAGUGACGUUAAGAGGGCAACCUUUUAACGUUGACACUAAAGAGGAAGAAGCGACUGUUUAUUAAAAACACAAGUCUCUGCUAAUUCGAAAGAAGAUGUAUAGGGACUGACACCUGCCCGGUGCUGCUAGGUAACGUGGAUAUGCCAAGGCAUUGAAAUUAAGCCCCAGUAAACGGCGGCUGUAACUCUGACGGUCCAAAGGUAGCGAAAUUCCUUGUCGGGUAAGUUCCGACCUGCAUGAAUGGUGUAACGACUUCUUCGCUGUCUCCAACGUAGACUUGGUGAAAUUGAAAUGCCCGUGAAGAUGCGGGCUAUUUGCAGUUAGACGGAAAGACCCCGUGCACCUUUACUAUGAUUUUAGGUUGUAGACUCAAAUUCUUUGUGUAGAAUAGGUGGGAGCAUUUUGCAACAGUGAAAUACCACCCUGAUUAUUUGAUUCUACUUAAUUAUUUUUUAUAAGACAGCCUAUGAGAGGUAGUUUGACUGGGGCGGUCACCUCCUAAAGAGUAACGGAGGUGUGCAAAGGCAAACUCAAAUAAUAUUUUAUUUUAGAGCGUAAUGGCAUAUGUUUGCUUGACUGUAAGAUUGACGAAUCGAACAGAGAUGAAAGUCGGCCAUAGUGAUCCGGUGGUUCUGCGUGGAAAGACCAUCGCUCAACGGAUAAAAGGUACGCCGGGGAUAACAGGCUGAUGGUUUCUGAGAGUCCAUAUCGACGAGACCGUUUGGCACCUCGAUGUCGGCUCAUCACAUCCUGGAGCUGAAGCAGGUUCCAAGGGUUCGGCUGUUCGCCGAUUAAAGUGGUACGUGAGCUGGGUUUAGAACGUCGUGAGACAGUUCGGUCCCUAUCUGCUGCAAAUGUAGAAAACUGAAGGGCUUUAAUUCUAGUACGAGAGGACCGAAUUACGCAAACCCCUGGUGUUUCGGUUGUUUCAUCAGAAGCAGCGCCGAGUAGCUAAGUUUGUAAGGGAUAACUGCUGAAUGCAUAUAAGCAAGAAACCCACCCUAAAACAAGUUUUUAAGAAUCGUAGCAGACUACUACGUUGAUAGGCUUAAAAUGAAAGAAUUGUAAGAUUUUUAGUUUAUAAGUACUAAUUUUUCAUAAAAAAAAC